UGAGAUGACGACCUGAGCCAAAACCAAGAGAUGGCUACUCAACUGACCACACCACCAAGGCACCCCAGGGGUUCACUAUUUUGAAGGUUUGAAAGAGUGGAGGCUAUGUCCUCCAUUGUGGAAACUCGACAAGGGUGGCCUGCCCGAUCAAUUCUGAACAAUGAAUUUCCUCUGGUACAUCUUCAGGUGGCUGUGUAAAAAGCAACACAUAAAAUAAAGUCCUGGUAAUUGCAGACAACUGGCCGUGGUUUGAAGAAAGGGAACCAAGUAAAGUCUACUCACCAAUGAAGACGGCCAGCCCAGAGCCUCAU